GACGAACCGAGCGAACGUUGUUCGGAAUCACUGGGCUUAAAGGGCGCGUAGGCGGGUGCUCAAGUCCGGGGUGAAAUCCCACAGCUCAACUGUGGAACUGCCUCGGAUACUGGGCGUCUCGAGGGUGGCAGGGGUAUGCGGAACUAUUGGUGGAGCGGUGAAAUGCGUUGAUAUCAAUAGGAACUCCGGUGGCGAAGGCGGCAUACUGGUCCACUUCUGACGCUGAGGCGCGAAAGCCAGGGGAGCAAACGGG
rnacentral:rRNA from 1 species